CUGAUGUGCACUCGGCCAAAGUGGAUUUUUGCCACCGUCUAGAAGUCGUAGAAGAGACCCAAAAUCUCAACCCCUCGGAAAAUCUUGUACUUGCUUCUGGUGAGCUGUUUCUAAUGCGUUCCAUUCGCUUGCUGGCUGUCAGGCUGCGUUGCUGCUGCUGUCAUUUUCUAUUUUCUAUUUUCCAUUUUCCAUUCGAAUUUGUUUAGCCUCGGCCCGCUCUCAAACGCAAGGGCCCUUCGGCUUCGCCUUACCAUAAUAUCCCAGUCAUGCGGAUGCCACCGCCCUCGGCCCCUCGGCCAUAAUUCGAUUUAUGUAAAACUCUUGUAGUCUUGUAGUCCUGCAGUCCUGCGACUGCUGCAAUUUGCUGCCAGUGCUCAAGAGCUGCUUGUGUCCGAAUGCAAUUGCCAAAAGGUGUGAGGCCCAGGCUCUCAGGCGGCUCCUCCUGCUGAUUCCAUAAAGAAUGCCGUAUCGGGGGAAUUGAACGGAGCUGAACUCGGUCGAACACCUCGGCUUACAGCAAGGACACCCACAGGACCCGAAGGACACGCAAUAACAUCGAAGCCCCAAUGUCGGAGUCUGAGUCAGAGUCGUUUGCAUUGAUACGAUCAUAAGCAUAAAGCGAGCACACACAUAUAUCGAUAUCAAUAAAAGGGGAAACGCUGGGGGAAAUCACGGAAAUUCUGCUACGGCACACAUAACCCCUAACCCCCAACGACCCUCUCAGAUGGUUUGA
rnacentral:sRNA from 1 species